UUAUGCCACUGAGAUAUAUCCCCAGCCUGAAAGUUCAUAUUUUAAAAUUCCAGGGUUAAGAGAACAUUGGAUUUUCUGUCCCUUUAAAUUCACCCUUGGAUGAUUAUGUCCUUUCACAGGCGUCCAAGGCCACCCCCUCUGAUGGUCAUCCCUGCAGUAGGUGGUCUCCAAGGGUGAGCGCUGUGGGUGGAGCCUAUGAGGUUGUUGAUCUACCCACCCUUCAUCCACCAGUGCCGUGUGGGGUGUUUUCACUCAGUGGAGUGGACCCCAGAAUAGCUUGACUCUUGACAGUCCCCAGAAGCUCCCAGAGGGUGGUGCUGUUGGACAACGGAUGCUGGCGUCGGCUGGGACACAUAGAAAUGGGCAAACUCAAAAUUACAUCUCUGGUGAGCUAGCUCAGGGGUGACUGCAAGUUCCUGUGUUCAUACAGUGGGAUUGUGCGACACAUGUACAUUGUGUGGCCAGCAGGUGGCGCUGUCUCAUCAGUUCGGCCAGGGUCACCAAUGAAUGGAGGAGACUUGAGAAGGAAGCGGCCUUCAUCCACAUGGCAAAGGCAACCGCAGCAUCUCAUUUACUGGUGACAGAAAAUAGCAUUGUUUCCACAGUGGGGCACCAUAGCUCCACCAGGUCUUCCGGACUUUCAUCUGUGGAGAACGUAAGCCACUGCUUCUCCCUGGUCAGAAACCUUGGGAGGUUUUGGUGCUUGCCUCACACCACUCAGUCAUCCCAUGACAGCCAGGAAGGGACAACAGAUGUAGUGGAGGUGAGCUAUUCGGAAAGGCCAAGGAGUCACCAGCUUCCUAGAACUUGCCCAAGCAUUGGCAAAGCUGUUCCAAAGCUGUCAUCGGCCAAGACUAGAGGCUAUUUCAAAUGUAAUGAAAAAUUUAAAUCUUACGUUUCUGACCCUAGUGUAUUUCUAACACUGUUCAAGGAUGAGACUGGAAAGCACAGUCGGUUCUCGUAAUUAGAGAGCUACAAAACCUAACGAGCCUUGACACUCCCGGAGCCAGCUUCGAGAUAAGUGCAGCUUAGCCAGACGGUGUUUUGCUCACUUUCAAGUCCCAGAGAGUUACCACCUCCAGGACCCCUCUGCCCAGUCUCAGACAAUCAUUGAUUCUUUUCCCCACGUUAUAUGAUAGCGACCUUAUUAGUUCCUGUAGGAGUAAAUUCUGCCCAGCAACGAAUUAAAGACAUGUAACCAACGAUAAAAUGUUAUUAUCUGCCUUUUUGUACUUCCUCCUGAAAACCUGUAUACGUGAUUGGUAACCGCAAAAUGGUGCUGAUGAUUUGGAACAGAUUCCCAUCAGCCCACUAGUGUAAUAAAGCUAAAAGUCUUCCAAA